rnacentral:rRNA from 1 species
UGAGUUUGAUCCUGGCUCAGAACGUACGCUGGCGGCACGCCUAACACAUGCAAGUCGAACGAAGUAGCAAUACUUAGUGGCGAACGGGUGAGUAUAAUGUGGGUAUCUGCCUUUUGGUUUGGAAUAACACGAGGAAACUUGUGCUAAUACCGGAUAAGCCCUUACGGGGAAAGUUUUAACGCCGAAAAAUGAGCCCGCACUUGAUUAGCUAGUUGGUAGGGUAAUGGCCUACCAAGGCUUCGAUCAAUAGUUGAUCUGAGAGGAUGAUCAGCCACAUUGGGACUGAGACACGGCCCAAACUCCUACGGGAGGCAGCAGUGGGGAAUCUUGCACAAUGGGGGAAACCCUGAUGCAGCGAUGCCGCGUGAGUGAAGAAGGCCUUUGGGUUGUAAAGCUCUUUCGUCGAGGAAGAAAAUGACUGUACUCGAAUAAGAAGGUCCGGCUAACUUCGUGCCAGCAGCCGCGGUAAUACGAAGGGACCUAGCGUAGUUCGGAAUUACUGGGCUUAAAGAGCUCGUAGGUGGUUAGAAAAGUUGGUGGUGAAAUCCCAAGGCUUAACCUUGGAACUGCCACCAAAACUUUUUGACUAGAGUAUGAUAGAGGAAAGUGGAAUUUCUAGUGUAGAGGUGAAAUUCGUAGAUAUUAGAAAGAACACCAAUUGCGAAGGCAACUUUCUGGAUCAUUACUGACACUGAGGAGCGAAAGCAUGGGUAGCGAAGAGGAUUAGAUACCCUCGUAGUCCAUGCCGUAAACGAUGUGUGCUAGACGUUGGAAAUUUAGUUUUCAGUGUCGCAGCAAAAGCGUUAAGCACACCGCCUGGGGAGUACGACCGCAAGGUUAAAACUCAAAUGAAUUGACGGGGACCCGCACAAGUAGUGGAGCAUGUGGUUUAAUUCGAAGAUACGCGCAGAACCUUACCAACACUUGACAUGUUCGUCGCGACUCCAAGAGAUUGGAGUUUUCGGUUCGGCCGGACGAAACACAGGUGCUGCAUGGCUGUCGUCAGCUCGUGUCGUGAGAUGUUG